rnacentral:rRNA from 1 species
CUCAGGAUGAACGCUGGCGGCGUGCCUAAUACAUGCAAGUCGAGCGAACGGACGAGAAGCUUGCUUCUCUGAUGUUAGCGGCGGACGGGUGAGUAACACGUGGAUAACCUACCUAUAAGACUGGGAUAACUUCGGGAAACCGGAGCUAAUACCGGAUAAUAUUUUGAACCGCAUGGUUCAAAAGUGAAAGACGGUCUUGCUGUCACUUAUAGAUGGAUCCGCGCUGCAUUAGCUAGUUGGUAAGGUAACGGCUUACCAAGGCAACGAUGCAUAGCCGACCUGAGAGGGUGAUCGGCCACACUGGAACUGAGACACGGUCCAGACUCCUACGGGAGGCAGCAGUAGGGAAUCUUCCGCAAUGGGCGAAAGCCUGACGGAGCAACGCCGCGUGAGUGAUGAAGGUCUUCGGAUCGUAAAACUCUGUUAUUAGGGAAGAACAUAUGUGUAAGUAACUGUGCACAUCUUGACGGUACCUAAUCAGAAAGCCACGGCUAACUACGUGCCAGCAGCCGCGGUAAUACGUAGGUGGCAAGCGUUAUCCGGAAUUAUUGGGCGUAAAGCGCGCGUAGGCGGUUUUUUAAGUCUGAUGUGAAAGCCCACGGCUCAACCGUGGAGGGUCAUUGGAAACUGGAAAACUUGAGUGCAGAAGAGGAAAGUGGAAUUCCAUGUGUAGCGGUGAAAUGCGCAGAGAUAUGGAGGAACACCAGUGGCGAAGGCGACUUUCUGGUCUGUAACUGACGCUGAUGUGCGAAAGCGUGGGGAUCGAACAGGAUUAGAUACCCUGGUAGUCCACGCCGUAAACGAUGAGUGCUAAGUGUUAGGGGGUUUCCGCCCCUUAGUGCUGCAGCUAACGCAUUAAGCACUCCGCCUGGGGAGUACGACCGCAAGGUUGAAACUCAAAGGAAUUGACGGGGACCCGCACAAGCGGUGGAGCAUGUGGUUUAAUUCGAAGCAACGCGAAGAACCUUACCAAAUCUUGACAUCCUUUGACAACUCUAGAGAUAGAGCUUUCCCCUUCGGGGGACAAAGUGACAGGUGGUGCAUGGUUGUCGUCAGCUCGUGUCGUGAGAUGUUGGGUUAAGUCCCGCAACGAGCGCAACCCUUAAGCUUAGUUGCCAUCAUUAAGUUGGGCACUCUAAGUUGACUGCCGGUGACAAACCGGAGGAAGGUGGGGAUGACGUCAAAUCAUCAUGCCCCUUAUGAUUUGGGCUACACACGUGCUACAAUGGACAAUACAAAGGGCAGCGAAACCGCGAGGUCAAGCAAAUCCCAUAAAGUUGUUCUCAGUUCGGAUUGUAGUCUGCAACUCGACUACAUGAAGCUGGAAUCGCUAGUAAUCGUAGAUCAGCAUGCUACGGUGAAUACGUUCCCGGGUCUUGUACACACCGCCCGUCACACCACGAGAGUUUGUAACACCCGAAGCCGGUGGAGUAACCUUUUAGGAGCUAGCCGUCGAAGGUGGGACAAAUG